GUUUGCUCUCCUCUUCAGCUGCUGUCACACAGAUCUGACACAGCUGCCAGAGGUGACCCUCACUGCCCAGAAAAGCUGCAUGCAAGGACAAAGCUCUCUCAGCAAGAUACACAAACCUGUGCCAGCAGUGCUGACUGGAACCAUGAACUGCCCACACUCACGGGGUAAAAAGGAACACUCAGGAUGAAAGAGGAUUCAGAAUUCCUUGAGAGCAUGUCUGGAUCUCAUAUAAUAGGGUAAGGAGAUUGGAAUGUUACUGGAAGCUCACACUUCCAGCUUUUGACAAUUCCUUCAAUUAAAGCCAUAGCAGCAUUUGAGGUGUUUGUUACCCAUUUUUUCCGAAGCCCAGAGCAUUCCUGGUGUCCCAUAAAACCUGCCACCAGCAGCAUCUGGAAUGAGGGUGUUUUCCCAAGGGCUCUGGUGCAGGAUUCUUCAUUUUAAGUUUUACAGUUGAAAAAUGCUGCCUCCCUGACAGAAGGGGAGUUUGAUGGUUGCUUAAGGAAGUUCUGUGCCUAUAAAGCCCACUGGAAUGUUUUUUUUCCCAAGAUCGUGGGCAUGCUGAGAAGAAAAGACCUUCCCUUCCCAGACACACUGG